CCUGGGCCAUUAGCUCAGGUGGUUAGAGCGCACCCCUGAUAAGGGUGAGGUCCCUGGUUCAAGUCCAGGAUGGCCCAUUCGGUGUUGGGGGUUUAGCUCAGUUGGUAGAGCGCCUGCUUUGCAAGCAGGAUGUCAGGAGUUCGAGUCUCCUAACCUCCACUGACUACCAAAAUCCCCAUCUCCAAAGCCUGGAGUAUGAACUCGUAUGGAUUGUGAUUUAGAUGUGUCCGCUAGAUGACCCUAGCUUCUUGUCAUUUUAAGGCAUGGAAAUGAUUCCAUGAUAUUUAAUUGAUAGGAUGCUGGGCUCGAUGCAAUGUAUUGAGAGAUCAAUGCAUUGUUUUGAUGUCUGGCCGAACCUUGACAACUGCAUAGUAAGUCUGGAAAGAAUAAAACAUCUUUAUGGAUGCAUCAUUCUUGAGUGUUAAUUCACGAUGGGAUGGUGUUAAUUCUAAGCAAGAGCCGAGACUCCAGCAUGUUCUUUCAAAUGUGUCGAGCAUUUGAGAGUUUGAUUUUAAUUUCUACUUGUAGAAGUUAGAAGAAUCUGUUUCAACGACAGCAAGCGUGUUGGAGAUACAUUGGUCAAGCUACAAAGGGCUCACGGCGGAUACCUUGGCACACAGAGGCGAUGAA
rnacentral:tRNA from 1 species